GACGAACGCUGGCGGCGUGCCUAAUACAUGCAAGUCGAACGCUUCUUUCCUCCCGAGUGCUUGCACUCAAUUGGAAAGAGGAGUGGCAGACGGGUGAGUAACACGUGGGUAACCUACCCAUCAGAGGGGGAUAACACUUGGAAACAGGUGCUAAUACCGCAUAACAGUUUAUGCCGCAUGGCAUAAGAGUGAAAGGCGCUUUCGGGUGUCGCUGAUGGAUGGACCCGCGGUGCAUUAGCUAGUUGGUGAGGUAGCGGCUCACCAAGGCCACGAUGCAUAGCCGACCUGAGAGGGUGAUCGGCCACACUGGGACUGAGACACGGCCCAGACUCCUACGGGAGGCAGCAGUAGGGAAUCUUCGGCAAUGGACGAAAGUCUGACCGAGCAACGCCGCGUGAGUGAAGAAGGUUUUCGGAUCGUAAAACUCUGUUGUUAGAGAAGAACAAGGACGUUAGUAACUGAACGUCCCCUGACGGUAUCUAACCAGAAAGCCACGGCUAACUACGUG
rnacentral:rRNA from 1 species